GACGGAGGAUGCAAGCGUUAUCCGGAAUGAUUGGGCGUAAAGCGUCCGCAGGUGGCAGUUCAAGUCUGCUGUCAAAGACCGGGGCUUAACUUCGGAAAGGCAGUGGAAACUGAACAGCUAGAGUAUGGUAGGGGCAGAGGGAAUUCCUGGUGUAGCGGUGAAAUGCGUAGAGAUCAGGAAGAACACCGGUGGCGAAGGCGCUCUGCUAGGCCGUAACUGACGCUGAGGAACGAAAGCCAGGGGAGCGAACGGG
rnacentral:rRNA from 1 species